rnacentral:rRNA from 1 species
GGGGAGCCCUAGCACAGGUGCUGCAUGGCCGUCGUCAGCUCGUGCCGUGAGGUGUUGGGUUAAGUCCCGCAACGAGCGCUAACCCCGCCGUUAGUUGCCAGCGGUUCGGCCGGGCACUCUAACGGGACUGCCCGCGAAAGCGGGAGGAAGGAGGGGACGACGUCUGGUCAGCAUGGCCCUUACGGCCUGGGCGACACACGUGCUACAAUGCCCACUACAAAGCGAGGCCACCCGGCAACGGGGAGCUAAUCGCAAAAAGGUGGGCCCAGUUCGGAUUGGGGUCUGCAACCCGACCCCAUGAAGCCGGAAUCGCUAGUAAUCGCGGAUCAGCCAUGCCGCGGUGAAUACGUUCCCGGGCCUU